UACGUAGGGUGCGAGCGUUAAUCGGAAUUACUGGGCGUAAAGCGUGCGCAGGCGGUUCGUUGUGUCGGCGGGGAAAGCCCCGGGCUCAACCUGGGAAUGGCCGUUGAAACUGGCGAACUGGAGUGUGGCAGAGGGGGGUGGAAUUCCGCGUGUAGCAGUGAAAUGCGUAGAGAUGCGGAGGAACACCGAUGGCGAAGGCAGCCCCCUGGGCUAACACUGACGCUGAGGCACGAAAGCGUGGGGAUCAAACAGG
rnacentral:rRNA from 1 species